rnacentral:rRNA from 1 species
UACGGAGGGUGCGAGCGUUGUCCGGAAUCAUUGGGCGUAAAGGGCGCGUAGGUGGCGGCUUAAGCGUGCGGUGAAAGCUCGGGGCUCAACCCCGAGUCGGCCGUGCGAACUGAGUCGCUUGAGCACUGUAGAGGCAGGCGGAAUUCCGGGUGUAGCGGUGAAAUGCGCAGAUAUCAGGAGGAACACCGGUGGCGAAGGCGGGUCUCUGGGCCGAUACUGACGCUGAGGAGCGAAAGCGUGGGGAGCAAACAGG